rnacentral:rRNA from 1 species
GUGGGGAAUUUUGGACAAUGGGGGCAACCCUGAUCCAGCCAUGCCGCGUGCGGGAAGAAGGCCUUCGGGUUGUAAACUGCUUUUGUACGGAACGAAAAGACUCUGGUUAAUACCUGGGGUCCAUGACGGUACCGUAAGAAUAAGCACCGGCUAACUACGUGCCAGCAGCCGCGGUAAUACGUAGGGUGCAAGCGUUAAUCGGAAUUACUGGGCGUAAAGCGUGCGCAGGCGGUUAUAUAAGACAGAUGUGAAAUCCCCGGGCUCAACCUGGGAACUGCAUUUGUGACUGUAUAGCUAGAGUACGGCAGAGGGGGAUGGAAUUCCGCGUGUAGCAGUGAAAUGCGUAGAUAUGCGGAGGAACACCGAUGGCGAAGGCAAUCCCCUGGGCCUGUACUGACGCUCAUGCACGAAAGCGUGGGGAGCAAACAGGAUUAGAAACCCUUGUAGUCC